AAGCAGUUGGUAUCAACGCAGCUUACAGUAACGAAAGAGUAGAGAGCGAUAAGAACGGCGAAGAAGAACAAGUGCUUCGUCCAACUGAUCGACCACA